AGUAAUGCUUGGGAAUCUAGCUUAUGGAGGGGGAUAACUACGGGAAACUGUAGCUAAUAUCGCGUAGUAUCGGAAGAUGAAAGUGUGGGACCUUCGGGCCACAUGCCAUAGGAUGAGCCCAAGUGGGAUUAGGUAGUUGGUGAGGUAAAGGCUCACCAAGCCGACGAUCUCUAGCUGGUCUGAGAGGAUGACCAGCCACACUGGGACUGAGACACGGCCCAG
rnacentral:rRNA from 1 species